CCCACUUCCAUAAUUUUUCUAAUCCUUUUGUGGCAUUUCUUCAUUUAAAAAAAUAAAUCAUGAUUCCAGAGAUAGAUCUACUGGUGUUUGCUGGGGGCGGGGAAGGGAUGAAUGGGGAAUGAAUGAUUGCCAGUGGGCACAGCGUUUCUUUUUGGGGUGAUGAAAAAGUUCUGAAAUUAGAUAGUCGUGGUGAUUGUACAAGCUUGUGGAUAUAAUAAAAAUGAGUGAAUAGUAUACUUUAAAAGAGUGAAUUUGGCUGGGCACAGUGGCUCACACCGGUAAUCCCAGCACUUUGGGAGGCUGAGGUGGGAAGAUUGCUUAAGCCUAGGAGUUUGAGACCAGACUGGGCAACAUAGCGAGACCCUGUCUCAACAAAAUUACAAAAAUUAGUUGGGCAUGGUGGCGUGUGCCUGUAAUCCCAGCUACUCAGGAGGCUGUCUCAACAAAAUUACAAAAAUUAGUCAGGCGUGGUGGCGUGUGCCUGUAAUCCCAGCUACUCAGGAGGCUGAGGCAGGAGAAUCACUUGAGCCCGGGAGGCAGAGGCUGCAAUGAGCCGUGAUUGCACCACUGCACUCCAGCCUGGGUGACAGAGCAUGACCCUGUUUCAAAAAAAAAAAAGUGAAUGUAUUGCUUCUUGGCCUCUUGGCUAAGAUGAAGUGUAGUAUUUGCUUUUAGUAGUUGUCUGCUAUGGUCUGAAUCUGUCCCCUCUUCCUCCCAAAUUUGAAAUCCUAACCCCUUAAAUGAUAGGAUUAGGAGGCAGGGACUUUGAGAGGCGAUCGGGUCAUCAGGGUGCAGCCCUUAGGAAUGGGAGUCAUGCCCUAAUCAAAGAGGCCCCCAGAGAGCUCCCUUCUCCCUUGUGCUGUGUGGGGACACAGAGAGGAAAUCUAUGCAUCAGGUGGCAGGUCCUCACCAUCCUCCUCGGACGCUGAAUCUGCUGCCGCCUUGAUCUUGGACUUCCAGCCUCCACAACCAUGGGAAAUGAACUGUUGUUUGUAAGCCAUGCAGCCCAUGGUACCGUGUCAUGGCAGCCCUGGUGGACUAAGACAAUGUCCUCGGCUGAAUUGUGAUUGAGAGCUCAAUGGUACAGUCCAGGGGGAGCUUUGUGGUGUUUUGGUUUCUCAAAGAACCACUUGGAUCGCUAGGACUCCGGUCUGCAUUUGAAGCCAUCUCCUGCCCAAGGACACCUGGUCACCAUGGCCAGCAUGCAGCCAGACACCAGGGACCUCCCUGUGGCCACCAGAAUUGGUGGAUCCAUCACUCAUGGGGUUUCUCAGGCUUUGCUUUCGCAAUUAGUUGGUUCUCCUCAAUUGCAUUCUGUUUCCCUCUGUUGGUAAUAGAGGACUGACCACAGGCAGUGGUGAUGACAGGGGAAGUCUUGGCUUAGCUCUUAGUGAGAGAGACAUGCAGGGCAUUGGCAGAAGUUCGAAUUGGUGAGCCCAGCCUGUCCCUCUCAGACGCCUCCAGGCGUGUGUCUAAGAGAAAGUCUCCUGCAUGUAAGAAAGUAUUCUACAGGCAAACAUGACCUUUUGUUUUGUUUUGUUUUGUUUUGUUUUGUUUUGUUUUGUUUUGUUUUUCAUUUUGAGACAGAGUCUCACUCUGUCACCCAGGCUGGAGUGCAGUGGUGCAAUCUUGGCUCACUGCAACCUCUGCCUCCUGGGUUCAAGCAAUUCUUGUGCUCAGCUUCCUACGUGGCUGGGAUUACAGGCGUGCACCACCACUCCUGGCUAAUUUUUGUAUUUUUAGUAGAGACAGAGUUUCGCCAUGUUGGCCAGGCUGGUCUUGAAAUCCUGACCUCAAGCGAUCCACCUGCCUCAGUCUCCCAAAGUGCUGGGAUUACAGGCGUGAGCCACCAUGCCCAGCCCCAAUUUUGCUUAAGGAGGAAUUUUAUAGUAGGUGAAUUAAUAUCUCAAUGGAAAAAAAAUACCAGAAGUUUCAAGAGCUGAAAUAGUCAUAGGCCUCUCUCACUUUCUUUGGGUUCUCAGAACCCACCCAAAGAGUGGUCAAGCUAAAAUUUCAACCCAGAGACAUCUGAUUCCAAAGGCCAUUUUUCUUCACCUCUGCCAGCCAGAGAGUGAAUGGUCAUGUAGCCUGGGAGUGAAAGCCAUGCUGGGGGGUUUGAACUUUUUGUUGUCGUUGAUGAUUGAAGGGUUUUGAGGCAGAAAAGAAACAUAAUUCAGUUUUUGUUUUAGAAAGAUGGAGCUGGGCAUGGUAGCUCAUGCCUGUAAUCCCAGAACUUUGGGAGCCCAGGACAGGGAGGAUCACUUGAAGCCAGGAGCAUGAGACCAGCCUGGGCAAUACCGGGAGAUCCCAUCUCUUAGAAAAAAUAAAAAAAGCAAAGAAAGAUAAUUCUUAGGAGCUUUAUGUGAAUAUUCUUUAUUAGACAUAAUAACAGAUAAUAUUGAGGAGAGUUUUUUUCUGGGUUGGCUACAAUAAUUUUUGCAGUUUUGUUUAAAAAUUUUUUGAUACAGGCUGGGCACAGUGGCUCACACCUGUAAUCCCAGCACUUUGGGAAGCCGAGGCAGGUGGAUCACUUGAGGUCAGGAGUUUGAGACCAGUGCCUGUAAUCCCAGCUACUCGGGAGGCUGAAGCAGGAGAAUCACUUGAACCUAGGAGGCGGAGGUUGCAGUGAGCCGGGAUCAUGCCACUGCACUCCAGCCUGGGUGACAAAGCAAGACUCCGUCUAAAAAAAAUGUUUUUUGGCUGGGCGCGGUGGCUCACGCCUGUAAUCCCAGCACUUUGGGAGGCCGAGGCGAGCAGAUCACGAGAUCAAGAGAUCAAGACCAUCCUGGCUAACGUGAUGAAACCCCAGGUAUCUCUACUAAAAACACAAAAAUUAUGGCCGGGUGCAGUGUCUCACGCCUGUAAUCCCAGGAUUUUGGGAGGCCGAGGUGGGCAGAUUACCUGAGGUCAGGAGUUCGAGACCAGCCUGACCAACAUGGAUAAACCCGAUUUCUACUAAAAAUACAAAAUUAGCUGGGUGUGGUGGCGCAUACCUGUAAUCCCAGCUACUCGGGAGGCUGAGGCAGGAGAAUCGCUUGAACCUGGGAUGCAGUGAGCCAACCAAGAUGGCACCACUGCACUCCAGGCUGGUGACAGAGCGAGACUCUGUCUCAAAAGAAAAAAAAAAUUUUUUUUGAUACAGCUCACGAACAGCAAGGCAAAAUAAAAAAUAAUUUUUAAAAAAAGUUCAACUUUUUUUUGCAGGGGAGAUAGGGUCUCACUCUGUCUCCCAGGCCGGAGUGCAGUGGUGCAAUCAUAGCUCACUGUAUCCUUGACCUCCUGGGCUCAAGCAAUCCUCCCACCUCAGUCUCUCAAAGUGUCGAGAUUACAGGCGUGAGCCUGGCCUGAAAUCUUGACUAAAAUAUCAGUGUUCAGCCUCUAUGGGAACCCUAGAGACCAGUGCGAUUUUUUUUUUUUAUCUCAUUCACUUUUUAAAUUUUUUAAUUAUUUUAUUUCAUUUCAUUUCAUUGAGACAGGGUCUCACUGUCACCCAGGCUGGAGUGCAAUCAUAGCUAACUGCAGCCUUGACCUACCUCCCCACCAUCACCUCAAGCGAUCCUCCCAUCUCAACCCCUCAAGUAGUUGGGACCACAGAUGUGCACCACUAUGCCCAGCUAAUUUUGUUUUAUUUUCAGAAGAGACAAGAUCUCACUAUAUUGCUCAGGCUGGUUUCAAAUGCCUGAGCUCAAGGGAUCCUCCUGCCUUGGCCUCCCAAAAUGCUGGGAUUACGAGCAUGAGCCAUCUCGCCUGGCCAAAAAGAUUUUUUUUUUAGUGGAUUUUGUGAUUUGUUCCCAUCAUUAAACAAAAGGUCAGUGGAGAGAGAAGCAGCGGUUGGGCAAUGUUUGCCUAUGAAAAGUCCAUCUGUCCUUAUCUGUCCUUAAUGUUAUUCUACUUUAUUCUAAAGUUGAAUUUCUCUGCUGUGCAGCACAGCAGGCUUUAUGUAAAAUUCUAUUCAAAUUUAUAGGCGAUAAGUGGUUUUUAAAUAAACACAUAGGGUGUUCCAACUGAGCUCUGAAACCUCUGGCUGAUGGAUGCAUUUAAGAAAGAUGGUGAGAUGCUGUAAGAGCCAGCCCAGGCCAUAGCACAGUUCUACAGACUGAGGGGCUUAAUCCACAGAAACGGAGUUUCCCACAGUUCUGAAGGCUCCAAGUCUGCAAUAAGUUGUUGGCAGCGUGGUUUCUUCUGAGGCCUCUCUCCUUGGCUUGUAGAUGGCCGUCUUCUCCCUGUGUCCUCACUUGGUCAUCCCUCUGGGUGUGUCUGUGUCCUGACCCUCUCUUCUCAUAAGGACAUCAGCCAUUCUGGAUUAGGGCCCACCCUAAUGACCUCAGUUUAAUUCAGUUCCCCUUUAAAGUCCCUGCCUCCAAAUACAGUCACAUUCUGAGAUGCUGGGGUUCUUCUUCAUCUCUGUAAUUUUAUCUUUCUAAGAAUAUUAUGUAAGUACAAUUAUAUAGUAUAUAACUUCUUGAAAUUGACCUUUUUUCCAGCCUGGGCAAUAUGGCGAAACCCCAUCUCUACAAAAAUGCUAUGAUGGUGCCACUGCACUCCAGCCUGGGUGACAGAGUGAGACCUUGUCUCAAAAAAAAAAAAAAAAAAAAAAAGCCUGUUUUUCUUCCCCCACUCAGCAUAAUUUUUAUAUUUAUUUAUUUAUUUAUUUAUUUAUUUAUUUUUUGAGACAAGAUCUCACUCUGUCACCCAGGCUAGAAGGCAGUGGUGCAAUAUCAGAUCACUGCAACCUCUGCCUCCCAGGUUCAAGCGAUUCUCCUGCCUCUGCCUCCCAAGUGGCUGGGAUUACAGGCACCUGCCACCCCACCCAGCUAAUUUUUUUGGUAUUUUUAGUAGAGAUGGGGUUUCACUAUGUUGGACAGGCUGGUCUCAAACUCCUGACCUUUGGUGAUCCGCCUGCCUCAGCCUCCCAAAGUACUGGGAUUACAGGCGUGAGCCACCACACCUGGCAUCCACUCAGCAUAAUUUAAUGCUUUAAGAUCCAUCCAAGUAUGGCCGGGCAUGGUGGUGUAAUCCCAGCACUUUGGAAGGGUUAGACGGGCAGAUCACCCGGGUCAGAAGUUCGCAACCAGCCUGGCCAAUGUGGUGAAACCCUGUCUACUAAAAAUACAGAAAAAUAGCCGGGCAUGGUGGUGGAUGCCUGUAAUCCCAGUUACUCUGGAGGCUGAGGAAGGAGAAUCACUUGAGCCCGGGAGGCAGAGUUAGUAGUGAGCUGAGAUUGUGCCAUUGCCCUCCAGCCUGGAUGACAAGAGCAAGACUCCAUCUCAAAAAAAAAAAAAAAAAAAAAGAAAAUCCAUCCAAGUUGUUGCCCGUAUCAAUCAUUUAUUUCUUUUUUAUUGCUAAAUAGGAUCCCAUGGUAUGAACGUACUAGUUUAACUAUUCACCCACUGAAGGACAUUUGCAGAAUCUUCUUUUAAAACUAAGCGAUGCUGUGUGCAAUUGCUCACUUACAAGUGAUCUGCCUGCCUUUGUGGAUUGCUUGAGCCCAGGAGUUCCAGACCAGUGUGGGCAACAUGGCAAAACCCCUUCUCUACUAAAAAUCUACAAAAUUUGCCAGGCUUGGUGGUGUGCACCUGUAGUCCCAGCUACUCGGGAGGCUGAGGUGGGAGGAUGGCCUGAGCCUGGGAGAUUGAGGCUGAAGUGAGCUGUGAUCUUGCCACUGCAGUCCAGCCUCGGUGACAGAGCCAGACCCUGUCUCAAAACAAACAAACAAACAAACAAAAACAAAAACUAAAGUGAAAGUGUUAUAGAUACAGCUGAAGCCUCCCUCCAUUCCAUUUCGCUCCCUGGGAUUCCUCUGCAGAAUUAAUUUCUAUCUUGAAGUUAGUAAACAUUCUUCUUACCCAUGAUUUGUAUGUGUUAUUACAUAUUGAUGUUUCCAGAAACAAUGUAUGGCUUUGUUUCACAAGUUUUAAGUAUUUAUAGAGAUGUUACCAGAUUGUAUGUAUCUUCCAGCAACUUGCUUUUUGCUCUAGAUGUUAUGCUCAAGUUUUAGUACUGUUGAUACAAAUAACUGUGGUUCAUUUUUCUUCACUGCUAUAGUGUAUUCCAUUGAGCAACUGAAUCUGUUCCCCUACUAAUGGAUAUUUAGGUUGUUUCUUGUUUUUUUACUAUAACAAUGUUCUCUCUCUCUCUCUCUCUCUUUCUUUCUUCGGAGUUUUGCUCUUGUCACCCAGGCUGGAGUGUAGUGACACAUCUCGGCUCACUGCAACCUCCACCUCCUGGAUUCAAGUGAGUCUCCUGCCUCAGCCUCCUGAGCAGCUGGGAUUAUAGGCGGGUGCCACCACGCCCAGCUAAUUUUUGUAUUUUUAGUAGAGAGGGGGUUUCGCCAUGUUGGCCAGGCUGUCUGGUCUUGAAUUCCUGACCUCAGGUGAUCCACCCACCUCGGCCUCCCAAAGUGCUGGGAUUACAGGCAUGAGCCACUGCACCCAGCCACAGUGACUAUCUUUGACCUGCCUCCUUAUGAAGUGGUACCUUCUUUAGAAAGAGAAGAACGUUUAACAAGGAAGAAAAGGGCCAACCUGCAGCGAGAUUUGGAGAAGGGAAACAGCAUUUGCAGGACAUCCACUCAACUCUAGGCUUCGUGCCAGGCGGCUUAAGUAUAUGAUCACAGCCUCGGCUUGGGAGGGGCCUGAGGGCCUAAUGAACAGCCUGGUACAGCCUGGUACAGCCUAGGACAUCCUGGGAAGUUCUGGAAAUACUGACUCCAAGCAGGUCAAGUGUGGAGUAGUUUUCUACCAGGACAGAGUUAACAACCCAUAAAGGUCUCUGCUUAAGUAAGAAGUCCAUUUCUGUGAACCAUAACCCAGAUAUAGCAACGCCAGACUGUCUCCUAUCAAAAUUUAUUGAAAUGGUAGAUUUUUGUGUGGAGUAGUUUUCUACCAGGACAAAGUUAACAACCCAUAAAGGUCUCUGCUUAAGUAAGAAGUCCAUUUCUGUGAACCAUAACCCAGAUAUAGCAACGCCAGACUGUCUCCUAUCAAAAUUUAUUGAAAUGGUAGAUUUUUGGAUUCCUGCGGUCACACCUUGCAACCAGUCUCCCACUCAUCUGCCACAGUUUCCCUAAAUCAGAUUCU
rnacentral:lncRNA from 10 species